CGGGAUGUAGCGCAGCCCGGUAGCGCGCCUCGUUCGGGACGAGGAGGUCGCAGGUUCAAAUCCUGUCAUCCCGA
rnacentral:tRNA from 1 species